CAACUUUCAACAACGGAUCUCUUGGCUCUCCCAUCGAUGAAGAACGCAGCGAAAUGCGAUAAGUAAUGUGAAUUGCAGAAUUCAGUGAAUCAUCGAAUCUUUGAACGCACCUUGCGCCCUUUGGUAUUCCAAAGGGCAUGCCUGUUUGAGUGUCA
rnacentral:rRNA from 1 species